rnacentral:rRNA from 1 species
GACGUAGGGUGCAAGCGUUGUCCGGAUUUAUUGGGCGUAAAGAGCUCGUAGGCGGCUUGUUGCGUCGACUGUGAAAACCCGCGGCUUAACCGCGGGCUUGCAGUUGAUACGGGCAGGCUAGAGUUCGGUAGGGGAGACUGGAAUUCCUGGUGUAGCGGUGAAAUGCGCAGAUAUCAGGAGGAACACCGGUGGCGAAGGCGGGUCUCUGGGCCGAUACUGACGCUGAGGAGCGAAAACGUGGGGAGCGAACAGG